GAUGAACGCUGGCGGCGUGCCUAAUACAUGCAAGUCGAGCGAACGGACGAGAAGCUUGCUUCUCUGAUGUUAGCGGCGGACGGGUGAGUAACACGUGGAUAACCUACCUAUAAGACUGGGAUAACUUCGGGAAACCGGAGCUAAUACCGGAUGAUAUUUUGAACCGCAUGGUUCAAAAGUGAAAGACGGUCUUGCUGUCACUUAUAGAUGGAUCCGCGCUGCAUUAGCUAGUUGGUAAGGUAACGGCUUACCAGGGCAACGAUGCAUAGCCGACCUGAGAGGGUGAUCGGCCACACUGGAACUGAGACACGGUCCAGACUCCUACGGGAGGCAGCAGUAGGGAAUCUUCCACAAUGGGCGAAAGCCUGACGGAGCAACGCCGCGUGAGUGAUGAAGGUCUUCGGAUCGUAAAACUCUGUUAUUAGGGAAGAACAUAUGUGUAAGUAACUGUGCACAUCUUGACGGUACCUAAUCAGAAAGCCACGGCUAACUACGUG
rnacentral:rRNA from 1 species